rnacentral:rRNA from 1 species
CCUACGGGAGGCACCAGUGGGGAAUAUUGCACAAUAGGCGCAAGCCUGAUGCAGCCAUGCCGCGUGUAUGAAGAAGGCCUUCGGGUUGUAAAGUACUUUCAGCGAGGAGGAAGGCGUUAAGGUUAAUAACCUUGGCGAUUGACGUUACUCGCAGAAGAAGCACCGGCUAACUCCGUGCCAGCAGCCGCGGUAAUACGGAGGGUGCAAGCGUUAAUCGGAAUUACUGGGCGUAAAGCGCACGCAGGCGGUCUGUCAGGUCGGAUGUGAAAUCCCCGGGCUCAACCUGGGAACUGCAUCCGAAACUGGCAGGCUAGAGUCUUGUAGAGGGGGGUAGAAUUCAGGUGUAGCGGUGAAAUGCGUAGAGAUCUGGAGGAAUACCGAUGGCGAAGGCGGCCCCCUGGACAAAGACUGACGCUCAGGUGUGAAAGCGUGGGGAGCAAACAGGAUUAGAUACCCGUGUAGUC